GAGUUUGAUCCUGGCUCAGGACGAACGCUGGCGGCGUGCUUAACACAUGCAAGUCGAACGGAGCACCCCUGAAAGAGUUUUCGGACAAUGGAAGGGAAUGCUUAGUGGCGGACUGGUGAGUAACGCGUGAGGAACCUGCCUUCCAGAGGGGGACAACGGUUGGAAACGACUGCUAAUACCGCAUGACACAUGACCGUGGCAUCACGGACAUGUCAAAGAUUUAUCGCUGGAAGAUGGCCUCGCGUCUGAUUAGCUAGUAGGCGGGGUAACGGCCCACCUAGGCGACGAUCAGUAGCCGGACUGAGAGGUUGACCGGCCACAUUGGGACUGAGAUACGGCCCAGACUCCUACGGGAGGCAGCAGUGGGGAAUAUUGGGCAAUGGGCGCAAGCCUGACCCAGCAACGCCGCGUGAAGGAAGAAGGCUUUCGGGUUGUAAACUUCUUUUAAGGGGGAAGAGCAGAAGACGGUACCCCUUGAAUAAGCCACGGCUAACUACGUGCCAGCAGCCGCGGUAAUACGUAGGUGGCAAGCGUUGUCCGGAUUUACUGGGUGUAAAGGGCGUGCAGCCGGGACUGCAAGUCAGAUGUGAAAUCCGCGGGCUUAACCCGCGAACUGCAUUUGAAACUGCGGAUCUUGAGUACCGGAGAGGUUAUCGGAAUUCCUUGUGUAGCGGU
rnacentral:rRNA from 1 species